rnacentral:rRNA from 1 species
GUAGGUGGCAAGCGUUGUCCGGAAUUAUUGGGCGUAAAGCGCGCGCAGGCGGUCCUUUAAGUCUGAUGUGAAAGCCCACGGCUCAACCGUGGAGGGUCAUUGGAAACUGGAGGACUUGAGUACAGAAGAGGAAAGCGGAAUUCCACGUGUAGCGGUGAAAUGCGUAGAGAUGUGGAGGAACACCAGUGGCGAAGGCGGCUUUCUGGUCUGUAACUGACGCUGAGGCGCGAAAGCGUGGGGGAGCAAACAGGAUUAGAUACCCUGGUAGUCCACGCCGUAAACGAUGAGUGCUAAGUGUUAGGGGGUUUCCGCCCCUUAGUGCUGCGGCUAACGCAUUAAGCACUCCGCCCUGGGAGUACGGCCGCAAGGCUG